rnacentral:rRNA from 1 species
AUGCAUAGGUUUAAAGCAAAGUUUAAAGUUGUCUUUUUAAUUCACAGGAUGGAUCCAAAUUCGAGUUAUUUGCUCAAAAUUAAAUUGUUUGGCAAUCCAAAGAAAGCUCGAAAGGACAUAAGAUGUUUUUGUUUUGAGAAGGUCAUCGAUUGUGACUUGACAAAUUAUAAGGAUUUGGUCGAGUCAAUUGUAGAGCAGUACCCGCCACGUUAUUUGGAAGCUGCACAUGUGCAAUAUUAUGACUAUGCUCUUAAAAACUGUCCAGAAGUAAAAUCUGACCAAGAUUUGAUGAUUAUGUUUGAAAAACACUCAGAGACAAAGGUGCUACAUAUGAUUAUUGCAUAUUGUGAUCCCUCAGAGCCAUAUGAGCCUAUCACCGAGUGGGAUGAACCUAACAGCAAUAUAGAACAUGAGGAUGAUACUUACCUUCGCAACCCAAGACCUGAAAAUGAGCAUGUUGGUGUUGAUGAGGAGAAUAUGUAUGAAGUGGAAGAACCUAUGCCCUUAGAUGUGGUUCUUUGUCCUAAUAAAGAAAAGGAUGAUGAAGUAGAGGCGUCUGAAGUAGAGGACGAUGAAGUAGGGGAGUCUGAAGUAGAGGAUGAUGAAGUAGAGGAGGAUGAGGAGUUGCAUGAGGCAGAGCAUACUCCACAUGUAGAGUAUGACAAAUUAGACCCUCCAAUGACAAAAGGCUUUACAUAUCCCAACAUGAAAGAGUUCAAGUUGGCACUUUCUCAGCAUGCAAUCAAACAUGAAUUUUAG